GCUUAACACCAUAAUUCAUUACUAUCGUCGUCGUCGCUUCGCCGCGGGCGGUGAGGUCGAAUCCGGGCCGGGGCUGGCUCCCGAGUCCAUACCCGAGUUACCCCCCUCUUUGCCGACGGUGAUGAUUUUUCCAUCUGGGGCUUCCGCGGCCGCAGGCUGUAGACGACUUCCUGGCUACGGGCAGGGGUUUCUGGCUGCGGGGGAGACGGGAGAUCGGGGACAGGUUAAACAUUAGACUUCCUGGGGUUCGGCCCCGAGCCCUAGGGACGGCACACUGUGGCCUGUGGGAGGGCGCGGAGGGGGUCCGCCCGUGGCCAUCUUGUCAGCACCCUUCCCCCCCCCACCCUCGUCGCCACCCUCGCUGGUGUUCCAGGACUAAAAAUAGCCUGACGGGACACUCUGAGAGCGCUUACUACCUACCAGACACCGUACCGAGCCCCAGGGUCGAAACGAGAGACGUGGCCACAGACGACGGGCCAAUUGGCUCGAUUUAACUCGGGCGGCCUGAAAACCACGCUGGCGGAAAGGAGCUCUAGAGCCCAACCAGACGGCGCGUGUUCCUCCUCGAUCUUGGCUCUCCGGAAGCCAGGCCAAGCAACUAAGAACGAGCUUCAGAACCACAACGCGCCGCACGUCUCUGCCGUCGACCGUCGAGCUCACUGGUGGAAGCCCCGGUGUCUCGGGAUUCCAGUUCCCUCGUGAAUAAGUUUUCGUUCCCCGGAAAAGAUGCCACGUUUUACGACCUGUUUACGUUCCUGCCUCGUUGGGUGGGUUAAUAGGCACCGGAUCUAUAGGCUCUCUUUCGGGAGGGAUUUUUAAGAGCGCAGUCAAUAACCACGUCUCCGCGAUGGGCCAAGCGUAACGUCGCCGGGAGGGAGGAGGCGGUUCCUCUCCCUCGCGGGCCGCCGAAGGCCUAAGGAAUUCUCGUUCGGGAACGGGAAGGAAUUCAAGGAGGUCGGGACCUCGUCGCCAUUCUCGUUUCGAACGAUAAUCCCUAAAGGAUGGGACCCGGAGGAUCGGGGUUACCGUGAGCAUAGGGCGGGCACGGGACGGACGAGAAGCAAGAGGCGAAACCUCUGUAGAGCGGCUCUGUGGAAGAAAAACCGGAGCGACACGGACACCCAGAUGGGUGCUAAGAUUAGCACUGACUGAUCAGCAGUUUCGUUUGGGGGGUUCGUUUGUUUUUUUAUGGUAUCUGUUUAGCGCUUACCAGGUGUCGGUCACUGUACUAACUGCUGGAUCGGUCCUUCUCCCCCAGGCUGUAAGGUCGUUGUGGGCAGGGAAUACGUUUUAUCGUUGUAUCGUC